rnacentral:rRNA from 1 species
CGUAGGGUGCAAGCGUUAAUCGGAAUUACUGGGCGUAAAGCGUGCGCAGGCGGUGAUGUAAGACAGUUGUGAAAUCCCCGGGCUCAACCUGGGAACUGCAUCUGUGACUGCAUUGCUGGAGCGCGGCAGAGGGGGAUGGAAUUCCGCGUGUAGCAGUGAAAUGCGUAGAUAUGCGGAGGAACACCGAUGGCGGAGGCAAUCCCCUGGGCCUGCACUGACGCUCAUGCACGAAAGCGUGGGGAGCAAACAGGAUUAGAUACCCUGGUAGUCCACGCCCUAAACGAUGUCAACUGGUUGUUGGGUCUUCACUGACUCAGUAACGAAGCUAACGCGUGAAGUUGACCGCCUGGGGAGUACGGCCGCAAGGUUG